CGAGCGCUAGGCGGUUUUUUUCCGCGAAAUCGGCUAGGCGGCUGCAAUAGUUCGCCUAGCGCACCGCCUAGCACCGCCGCUCGGCUAGGCGGUGCGCUAGGCGCUAUUGUAGAUGCUCUAAGUUCUCAUGCUAUCUAUCGCGGCGCUAGGCGCUAUUGUAGAUGCUCUAAGUUCUCAUGCUAUCUAUGUGAUUGCCUAUCAUGACGUAAGGAUACCUAUGUGAUUGCCUAUCAUGAUGCAUUGCCUAUCAUGAUGCAAGGAUACCUAUGUGAUUGCCUAUCAUGAUGCAAGGAGUAAUGGGGUGUUGCCUAUCAUGAUGCAGGGAGUAAUAGGGUGUUGAGGGGAUUACUGCCACCCCUUGCUUCCUGCCACAGCCUCUCUCUUGAUACUCUUGGGUGGUUUAUAUAGCCACAAUUCUUGGCUGUUUGUGACUGAAACUUGGAGACAAAGUAGAAGAAUCUUGUUCUGUAGCUCUCUUAACCAAAGCAGAAGUAGCUUUUAUCUUAAGUUUAGCUACUACUAUUCCAUAGAGUAGAACUAGUUAGAGCAUCAUUAACCCCUGCCCGGAGGACUUCGAAUGCCGCUCCCUUCACAAUAGUCCACCGUGCUUGGAGGACUUCGAAUGCACGCUCCACAUCUUUCCGAGCCGCCUCUUGCCUUUGGGCAAAUAAUGCCCUCCGUUCCGUUGUCGGACAUGUGAUAGUCUUCACGAACACAGGCCAUCGAGGGUAGAUCCCGUCUGCCAGAUAGUACCCCAUACUAUACCGACGGUGGUUGGCCGUGAACUCUACGUUCGACGCUCGCCCGGCACACAAGUCAUUGAACAAUGGAGACUCGUUCAACACAUUGAGGUCAUUGUUGGACCCCGCGACACCAAAGUAGGCAUGUUAGAUCCACAAUCGUUGGUCGGCUAUGGCCUCCAACACAAUCGUGGGAUGUGUGCCCUUGUGCCCGCUAGUGUAUUGUCCUCUCCAUGCCGUUGGACAACUCUUCCACUGUCAGUGCAUACAGUCGAUGCUGCCAAGCAUCCCCGGGAAGCUAUGGGUCCGCUCGUGCAAGUUCACCAACUUCCUAACGUCGUCGGUCGUUGGCUUUCUCAAGUAUGUAUCCUUGAAUGCUUCAACGUCGGUCGUUGGCACUCCCGUCCAGUAUGCUCGCUUACAUGGAGAUACUCAUCGAACAUAUCUGAUGUAGUACCAUAAGCGAGUGACGUACGGCAGAGGUGAGUAUAAAGAUACUCAGUGAACACAUUACCGAAAUAUACAUAUAUACGUUGAAAAUAUUAUCAUGUCAUCACAGUAACCCUCGAGAUUUUUCUCUUAAAAGGCCCAAGCUUACUAAAUUCUUUGUGAGCCAAAGUUCGACUGAUCAGUCUUAGUUCUUUCUAUACUUUUGCCAUAUCUGAACACCAAGUGUCGUGGAGAUGGUGCUCUUCCACGGUCACCUACAUCUUUCUCCAGCAGAGGAGGUGGCCACCUCCCAACGGCCUCCACUAUAUCAUCUUUGUGUCGUGGAAGGUGGCCACAUUGCACGGUCACCUGUGUACACUAAUCCGAGUAGGAACACCACCCUCACUCGGACCCAAAUUCGAUUCUUACGUUCCAACCAAACAGAUAGGCUCCAUACACAUAAAACAAAUUAUUUAUGACAAGACUACAUCAUUUGCAUAAAUAACAAACAUAAGUUUUUUUUCAUCCAUAUUACUAGGUAAGAUAGAAAAGUUCACUUUUUCGCUUUUCCACGAUUCUCUUAAAUCAUUCUCUCAUUUCUCAUAAUUACUUUUCUCAACAGUCUCCCCUUUUAUAAAUAAAAUAACAAGCUAACUUUAGUUUCAAGAAAGAUAUUAACUUAAUGAUAUGCAUUCCAUUUUCUCAUUAUCUUUUCUUUUAUUCACUCAGGGGUUCAAUCUUGACUAGUUAAAUCAAAGGAAUUAUUUAUUCAAAGAAUUGAUUCUACAAGGAAUUAUUCUAGUCUCGUUGGUGUUCUCCCUUAAUCAUUUCGGAAUUUACGUUUUAUUUUCAUAACAUAAUCCAUAGAUUUGCUUUCUUACACAAAAACAAUAGUUUAAAUUUCAUAGAUAGCUUAUUAAUUGAGAAUUAAUUACUUAAUUAAAUCUGAUGAUUUAAUCCUAAAAGAAAUAAUUUAACUGAUCUCAAUGAUUUAAAUUAAAACUAGCCCAAAGGAAUUAUUUAGAUAUUAAAAUCAGCCCAAUUCAAUUGAUUUCAAAACAGGAAUCCCAUAUUAAUUAAGUCCGAGUUGGGCUCCCUUCUAUUUUCAUUUCUGCAGCACAAAAGUAAAUAAAUAACAAAUCCUCAAAUUGGCCCAACUAUAACUAACUAGAGUCUUCUUCCUCCUCGCAUCAAACUCUAGCCCCAUUUUAGAGAGAGAAGCUCCUCCUUCUCUCUAGAAGGAAGAAUCACCGCCGCUGCCUCUUUCCGCCGGCGCCCUCCCUCUCUCUCUCUCUCUCUCUCUCUCUCCCUUCUCGAUUUAGAUAGAUCGUGAAACUGUAUUUAUCCGGAGCAGCUCGGUGUCAUCGUCGCCCCCUUGCUGCCGGAGCACCGUCGGCGGAGCACACUACCGGAAACCUGGGCAGCAAUUUCUCUAUGAGAUAAGCUCUCUAACUUUACAAUUAUUAUGAUAAUAGGAUUUGUCUUGAUAAUAUUACCCAUUUAGGUGAAAUUGUGCAAAAUUGUGAGUGGAGGUGUUACAGAAACUGUGUUUUAGAUUAUUUGAGCCUUGGGUAGAAAUGCUUUAAUUUCUUUCUCGUGUGCAUAUUGGGUGUUGGUAGAAUCUCCUUUCUUUAAUGUGCUUGAUACUAAUUGCACUAUUUAAUGCAAGAAACUUUAAAUCAAAACUGACUUAAACUUGAUUGAAGGACUUUAUUUCCACUUAUCAGCAAUUCUUUCUUCCUCUUUCUCUUUGGAAACUGGUAGGAAGCAUGUGUAUAGUGGCUGAAAAGUUGAUAACACCAACCCUUUAUAUAUUCUCAUGGAAUUCUUGACAAAUGUACCUUUUUGACAAGUGCCCUUAUUUGGACACGCCUCAACAUCUUGGCAUAUACUUUAUAGUUUAUACUAUGUAUUAUAAGAAAUUAUAUUUUAUUUCAUUUUUUGUGUAGGAAAUGAAAAGAGUAUCGUGUUGCUACUCGGAGAUGCAUAGGACAAAAGGUUCAUCAAGACUUGCACGAUUCUGAACCAACUCCUUAAAAUUCAAAAUUUUAUUUAAUUGCAUGUACUUGGACAUUACAUAUCUAGUUUGGGAUUAUUAUUAUAUAACUAUUGUGCUUACACGAGUUUUUGACUA